UAUGAAGUUAUAUUUAUUUUGUAACAAAGGCCAAUACUCGAAAAUUUGAAGUAAGGAAUGUUUCUACGAGGACCACAUGACUAUUUGGAUGAUUUUGUCGUUAUGGACGUUAUACAACUAAAAUACAUGGUGGAGGACCAACUCUGUACUCAAAUGAUAGGUUGACAAAUCUUUUGAGAUUAUAAGCUAAUAUGAACUGCAAGGAAAUGUGUGGUCAGAAAUAAAUUUUCAUUAAAUCUGAAAAAAAAAAUAAAAAAAUACCAAACUUAGUCAAUUCACUACGUCACGUCUUUGAGCUCCUGUUUGGUUUUGUUAAAAAAUAGGAUAUAUUCAGCUUUCAUAUCUGCAACCUGAUCAUUUUAGACCGAUAUUACGAGCAAUCAAAAUCUUGCAUGCUAAUUUAGGCAUGAGUUUUUUCUUUCUACUAAAUAUGUAUUGCUUACCAGGAGCAAUAGAAUUUCCCUAGAGACACCCUUGAAUAGAUAAACUUUCUCGACCGUAGGCAUAAACAAAUGCUGCCGGAUACUUUUACAUAGUGUUUUGGGUAGCUGUUCAAUGAGUUGCUGCUGGUUCAAGCUCUCAGCCUUAAAUCUUAGACACAUAUAAGCCAAUAUCUGAUCUUUCAGCCUAGGAGGCAACUGGUUACGGGACACAAAACUCGAUGCAACUUCAAUGCUACUUCUCUACAAGAAAAUAAAACAAUAAACUCACUUUCUUUCCAUGUAUUUAUCACCUACUUUCUAUCAGAUAGAAAAAAAGACUUACAAAUUCCAUUGUACGGCGAGUGGCCUCAACAACCAAGUUUGUCAUGUUACCAAUAAUAUAAGCAGUUAGGCCUAGAUUGAAAAGCAUGUAGAAAAUUAUGAACACCAUUUCUAAGGUAUUCACUGCAUGUAGAUCACCAUAUCCAACUGUAGUCAUGGUAGUGAUGGACCAAUAUAGGGCUGAAAUGUAUCUUAUCCAAAGGCUCGUCUCUUUGAAAUUUGGAAUAGCAGAUCCAAUCCAUGUCUUUCCUCCAUGUGGAUAUUUGACGGCUAGAAAGUAGUAUAGGCAUCCAGCACAAUGCGCUAGGAUCAAUGUUACCUGGAAACAUAGGUACAAAAUGGUGGUCUAUUCAUACUAUAUACAUAUCCUCUCGAUUGCAUUUUUAAGGGCUUGUUGCCAGUAAGACUCAUAAUGGGAACCUGAUAAAUUCCCAAUCGUCCCCCGGCAUCCAAUAAACAACUUUGAUGGUCUUAUGCUGAAAUUGAGAUUGUUUUGAUAGCAAGUACUUACAAAUAAAAGCCUGGCACAUCUGACCCAAAAAUAGCUGAAUCUGAUAUCUUUUUCAAUCCUGCAAUGCCAUUUGAAUCUCAGAAUCUUAAUAUGUCAUUCCAACUUCUUUACCAAUUCACUAAGGCCUUAGCCAUGGAUACAUAACUUGAUGACAUGUUUUUGGAUAAAAACUGCACCAGCUCGUCUAAGAAUUUUGUAGUCUACUAGAAGAAUUGUGAUAUUAUUUAGUACGGGUGAAAUGUUAACCUUGUAAAGAAGCUCUUGACGCGGCGAAGACGCCAAAAUCUGAGCAUUCCUAGAACUGAGUAAGAGACACCAGCUUGAUGUCUCCCAGUAAUCAAGAAAGCUACUGUCUCGAAUGGGAUUGUUGAAGCCACAUCCAUUAGAAACCAGGUUGAGAGGUACCUAUUUUCCCAAAAAUUUACAAACGAAAUUUAUCCAAAGUCUAAAUUCUAUAUGCAUGUAAUGUACAGUGAAUUGAUACAUUUCAGAUGACUAGGAAUUCCAUUAACGGGCAGUUUUGAUCCUUUAGAACAACUUGAUGAGUUAAUUAGAUUGCUUUAGGAGGCCCUAAUUCAAAGAACGUUGAUUGAAUCAGGUAAAGAGAGCUGAAAAUUUUAAAAAUCAAUGUAAUAAAAUUUAGGGAAAAUUGCACUAACGGUCCCUAACCUUUCAUUUUUUAAGACUUUAUCCUAAUAUUCAAUUUGUAGUCUUUCAAAAAUAUGCAACAAAGGUCCAAAUGAACAAUUCCCAUCCAUUUGAGCGUUAGCUGACCAAGAAAAGUGAAUUUGGAUUAAUUUUGACUAAAUUAAAAUGGGUAAAAUGAUAUCAUGAUAGUUAUCUUAUUAAAUGGGUGUUUGAGCCCCAUUUUUAUUUAAAUAUGCAUUUUAAAAUAGUAAAUUAAUGAAAAAUGUGUUGUUAAAAAAUAAAGAAAUUUUUUUUAUUUAUGUGUAAUCUUAUUUUAAUAAAGGAUGUAAGGUUGAAAAGAAGAGAAAGAAAAAAUAUAUUUUGAAAAAAAUGGGUACCAAACGGAGCCUAAAUAAAUAAUCAAAAAUUAAAAAAUAGGGAAAAAAAUAAAAAGAAAAUUAAGAAAAGAAAUAAAAAGGGUUGUCUCCUUCAGCCACCCCUUGCUCUCUCUAUGUCUCUCUCUCUCCUUGAAAUUAGCCACCAGUACUACUGUCGUCAGUACCACCUCUAGGAAACCAAUCACACUACUGUCGGUAACAUUUCCUUUGCACACCCACCGCCAAAAAUCCAAUCAUACACCCAUCGUCCUUAUACUGAAUCAGUUUUUACUGGCUGUUGACAAAAUUGAACAAAUUUCUCCAAAACCUCGGGAUCUUUCACCAAUUGUUUAUUGCCCAAAGCUACAAUAAGCUAAGGUAAAAGCCUAGCAUCAGUUGAAGCUAAGAACUUGCCAUUUUAUUCCAUUUCCUUCCCGAAUAAAAUCAACCUCAAAACUAGAACGGUAUUUUCUAUGAUUUCUAGCCUCAAAAUUUUAUCAAUCAACAAAUGAAUUUAUAGAAAUGUUGAGGUGGGGUUUUUGGUUUUGGGUGUUGGUUUGAUGCUAUGGAGGAUUUUACUGUGCAGCUCUUGCUCAAUGGUGGGGUGGGGUUUUUGGUGUAGGUUUGAUGGUUGUGGUGGCGGUUGGUUUUGGGUGGCCUUGACCGAUCUGGAGGAUGUGGGGUCGACUUUGUUGGUUGUUGUGGAAAGGUGCAUAGGGAUGGGAAUGGGGUGUUUGGAGGAGACCAUUUUUUUUCUUUCCAUUUUUUGGUUCAUUUAUUUAGCCAUGUUUGAACCACAUUAUUGUAAAAAUGAAAAUGAAAAAUAUAAUCAUUAUUGGUCUCACACAAAAGAUAAAAAGUCAAAUAUGAUAAUUUAAUAUGAUGGAUAAUGAUCAUAUUUUUCAUUUUAAUGAGAAAAUAAUAAGACUCAAACAGGGUCUUAAUAUGAUAAUUAUUAAGUUACCAUUCUAGCAUUUUUAAUUUGGUUAAGAUUAAUCAAAACUCACUUUUGUUGGUCAACUAACGACCAAAUGGAUGAAAAUCGUCCAUUUGGACCUUUGCUACAUAUUUUUGAAAGAUGUCACUUCGCUAACACAAAUUGAAUGUUAAGAUAAAAUCUACAAAAAAUGAAAAAUUCGGGAUCACUGUUACAAUUUUCCCUGAAAUUUAUUUAAAAAUGAUCUUACAAGACAAUUACAAUUCAAUAAUUAUAUUUAAAGAUAAACUAUUACUAGUAUUAAUUAGUAGAUAAAUAAAAAAAUUGUAAUGUAGUGACCAAUAAAGUACUUACUAAAUGUGUAAAAGAGAAAAAAAAAAUAAAAAAAUUAAGGAGCAUAGGUUUAAGUAUUAGCGCAAAGGGGGGAAAAUGAAGGUUUUAAAAUGUAGUGUGGAAUAAAAUGCAAUUGAUUAAACAAAUAAUAACAUUAUUAACAUAAAAUCAACCCAUAAAUAAUAUCAUAAGAUUUAAUUUAAAAGGGUUAAAAUAUUACAAAUUCUCGAUUUUUCAUUUCAUUAUUAUUAUGUGAAAUUACAUUAAAUAUAUUCAAAAAAUAAAUAAAUUAGAAACACAAUAAUUGUUUAAAUAAAUCACACCAUUCAAAGAAAAACAGGAAUUCUACAUUUUUAUUUAUAGCAAUACGAUCAAUGUUUAAAUAAUAUCAUUGUAUAUGUUCGUGUGUAUGUCAAUAUCACUCACCCUUGAUAAAUAUGUAAUGGUUUUCAAAAUAUUAUUCACGAUGCUUUAUCACUUUUUUUGGUAUUAUAUUUUUAUUAAUCUAUUUUAAAAUCAUACAAAUACAAUGAUUUUAUUUUAAUUUUUCAAGCCAACCGUUUAUAAUUUAAACACAAUAAUUAAUCAUUCACCACUCUACAAUCAAAUAUUUGAAAAAGACAAAAACCAGUAACAAAAAAGAUCGCCUCUGGAUUGAAUCUACCAAUUUUUAUUAACUUGUUCAUGGCCUCAUGUAACAACCGUCAUUUUUUUGACGAGGUUUGUACCUAUUAUGGGGGUGUUUGAGAGUCAUUUUUAUGUAAAAAUACAUUUUAAAAUAGUAAAUUGACGGAAAGUGUGUAGUUGAAAAAUAAGAAAAAAUUUUGAUCUACGUAUAAUAUUAUUUUAAUAAAGAAUGUGUGGUUGAAAAGAAUAGAGAGAAAAAUGCAUUUUAAAAAAAAUGGAUACUAUACGAGAACUAUAUGAGCAUUGCACAUUCAAGUUUAUGAAGUUAUAUUUAUUUUGUAACAAAGGCCAAUACUCGAAAAUUUGAAGUAAGGAAUGUUUCUACGAGGACCACAUGACUAUUUGGAUGAUUUUGUCGUUAUGGACGUUAUACAACUAAAAUACAUGGUGGAGGACCAACUCUGUACUCAAAUGAUAGGUUGACAAAUCUUUUGAGAUUAUAAGCUAAUAUGAACUGCAAGGAAAUGUGUGGUCAGAAAUAAAUUUUCAUUAAAUCUGAAAAAAAAAUUAAAAAAAAUACCAAACUUAGUCAAUUCACUACGUCACGUCUUUGAGCUCCUGUUUGGUUUUGU
rnacentral:lncRNA from 1 species